rnacentral:rRNA from 1 species
GACGAACGCUGGCGGCGUGCUUAACACAUGCAAGUCGAACGGAAAGGCCCUGCUUUCGUGGGGUGCUCGAGUGGCGAACGGGUGAGUAACACGUGAGUAACCUGCCCUUGACUUUGGGAUAACUUCAGGAAACUGGGGCUAAUACCGGAUAGGAGCUCCUGCUGCAUGGUGGGGGUUGGAAAGUUUCGGCGGUUGGGGAUGGACUCGCGGCUUAUCAGCUUGUUGGUGGGGUAGUGGCUUACCAAGGCUUUGACGGGUAGCCGGCCUGGGAGGGUGACCGGCCACAUUGGGACUGAGGUACGGCCCAGACUCCAACGGGGGGCAGCAGUGGGAAAUAUUGCACAAUGGUCGGAAGCCUGAUGAAGCAACGCCGCGUGCGGGAUGACGGCCUUCGGGUUGUAAACCGCUUUCGCCUGUGACGAAGCGUGAGUGACGGUAAUGGGUAAAGAAGCACCGGCUAACUACGUG